CUUGGUGGUGGUUGAUCCACAAGAUUACUCUGCUUUGAUAGAUUAUCUCAAGGGAGAUCAGGAUGACCAACAGUUCCGUAGGAAGCUUGCCUGGAAGGCUUUUCAGCUCGUGGCUGCUUAUGAUUCCGCAGUUUCAGAGUGGCUGUGGAAGGAGACUGAAGGAGGUAUGUCUAUGUAUGUAUUAUGAGCUACGUAUAACACUUCCUGUAGAUGGUAGGACUGGCAACUAGCCUUGUCUUUUUUUUUGGGUCAGGAACCCAGGAGAAUGUCCUGGUGUCCUUUGUAAUCGAGUUUUACCUUUUUUUGAUGCUUAGUGAGGUUUACAUGGAGUCUGCAUGAUAACGUUUGGACUCGACCCGACCCAGCCGAGUCGAGCUCUGCCCGCACAGUUAGGAAGAUUAUCUGCAUUUUGAGCUGUUUAACAGAAUUAGGAAUCGCUAGUUUUCCGCGAAGACUUAAUUUGCAAAUCCUUAAAUUUACUUCCUAUGUCUGUAAGUUUAGGGCAAUCAAAUGCAUUUCCCAUAUUUUCAUGAGGAACCAGCUCUCUGCAAUUCCAGGGCUGGGCUUUUACAGGCCUCUUUGCGAUUGUGGGGUUAGUGCUGCUUGCUUGGUCCCCCUACUCUGCCUAGGCUGGAGGUUCAUUAGAGGCACUUAGGUAUGGACAUUCAUGUGGUAUUAUUUACACAAGAGUUUCAGUUAACAUGCUGUUUGCACACUUUUGUUUUGGAAUUUUUUUCUGCACUACUCCCUGUUGUAGGUCACGUCUUUGAUCUACUUCAUAUUUUCUGAUAAUUCCGUUGAACCAUUCUACGGUUAAGAAGUAGCAUAGUUUUAAUAGUAAAAUUAUCUUUUGUGCUUUAAAAUUGCUUACUAUAAACUGCCUAUUAGAGAAUUUGUUAAUGCUAUCUUUUGUUAAACUUGCUAUUACUAACUGAUAAUGACUAUUGUGUUUUGCUAUGAGCUAACUGUGAACUACUAAAGCCAAACAAGGCCUGAAUUUUUUAAUGUCUUUGUUGCAGCAUUUUUUAAUGUUUCCAUCUCAUGUCUCUUCACCUUCUUCAACCAUGACUUUCCCCCUUUCUGUAAGUGUAUCUGCAUUCUCAGACACCAAGAACCGCUUGUAUCUGUACAAAAUUCUCAUUGGAGUGUCUCUGAUUUGCUUCACUUACUUCAUUGGAAGUGCUUUAAUUGCCAAGGAUUACAGAGAA